rnacentral:lncRNA from 1 species
CAUGGGGAAGGGGCAAAGUACACAUACUUACAGUGUCAGGGUUGAAAGGCUUUCUUAGUGCACACCUGGGCUCCCCCACCCCGCUCCAUCUUAUAAAUGAAGAAGCUGAGGCCCAGAGAGGUCACUUGCCCAAAGUCACACAGUAGUUGAGCCAGGUUCACAGCAAGGCCCCUUCAUUUCCAAUCCAUAACUCUCCUUAUUCCUGCAAGUAGCUGCCUUUCAGGCUCUGUAGAAACUAUGCCCUUUCCACAGGAAAUACAGGACUUUCCUGCUCAAUCCAGUCACAUACACACCUACACUCCCAUCCCCAGUGCAUCAGCAGCAGAGGAAACACAUCUCUCUAGGGCUACUGGAUUAGUUCACACUCGAAGCCACUGGUAUCUGGCAUGGCUAGAAGGGAAAGCUGCUAGAUGAAAUCUAUUUAUCAGAGAAAGGAAGGCUAGAACAUUUUUCAACAGCUCAGGUCCUGUUCUCUACAAGCGAUACUGGCACAUAAGCCAGGGAGGGGAGACGAGGUUGGGGCAGUAAAAGCUCGGAACUGGGUUGUUAGAAAACUGGAAUCUUCUGAUUCUUGUUCUGUUAACUUCCUAGGUGUCCUUGGGCAAAUGAGUUUUCCUCUCUGGAUCUCAUUUUCUUCAUAUAUAAAAUGAGAUGGUUAAAUUUGAUCAGUUCCUCAAACUUUGUACCAUAAAGAAUAUCUCUUUAUUAUAUUUCCUCCCAAACUCUGCUAUCAAACUGUAGUUUAAGUGAUCAUCUGUUGUGGUCCUUUUGUAGGUAUAGAUAUGAUUUUGUUAUUUUUGAAAUGCUGGAAAACACUGGAAUUCCUAGGUCCCUCCCUUUAGUGACAAACAAUUGGUGACUCUAGAGCUCUAGGGCCUCCUCCAGGACUGAAAGGAUGAUUCAUGGACCCUCAAGCCCCUAAGAUACCAUUGUCAAAAGGGACUUUAUAGAGUCUCUAGGCCAGCCCUCUGAUUUGACAAAUUGAGAUUGAGGCUGGAGAGCAAAGGAAAGUGCAGGCUCCCGGAUCACAUCCUGGAGUCAGGGCUGCACUGCAAGAGCACUCAGGUCUCUUCUCCUUGCUGGGUGCAUUCACCAUUGUACCCUGCUGUCCUCACCGACUUUGGUCCUUCAAUUUGCUUUAACUGUCAAGAACGAACCCUCAGACCUUUCCUGCCUUCUCUGAUUCUCCACACCUGCUCAUCUGACCUUUACGUCCUGCCUGCCCAUCUGGGCCUGGCUGGACUUCUGCUCUGCCUCUGGACACCUGCCUGUGCUCCUAAGGCUCUCCAGCAUCCCUAGGGAGUUAAUGCCAGCUCUGCCAAACGACCUCUGUCCUGCUGCAGCCCACGCUCUGGCAUGGCACCAAGACAUGUGGGGCCCUACCUUUCCAGCAUGUGGGGGAGUUACACAGACACCACACAGAUGCCAGGACAGCCUGUGGCAGACUCCCAGAGCCCUGGGACAGCCAACACAAUAAUGGCAGCCAGUUCCCAGGCUCUCGUUGGGUCUCAGGGAGCUCACCCCACCCUCCUCUCCAGCAGUCCCUGUCUGCUCAAGGUAGUGAGCUUGGCAUCUAACCCAUAGCUCCCUGGAAACUUAGAUUAAAUCACAGCCACACAGUCACCAAUUAAACAAAUGUAACAUCUGAUAAGGGCUGUUACCUCUACACAUAGACAAAAGAAUGAAUUUGGGAGCUGGGGGUGCUGUUGGCAAUUAAUAGGAAGAUAUGUCCAUUAUAGCCACUCAUCCAAUGAAUCAAGAAAGAUUUCUUGGAAAAAAAUGGGAUUCCAGAUCCAUUUGAGUAAUGUGUCCCUAUGCCUAUCACUCCUGGAAAUUAAAUGAUUUAAUUUAACUCUGGUGCACUUAUCUCCAAAAACCCAGAAAGACUCACGGAAUUUCAGAUAGACUGGCAGCAAUAAACGGUGGUGCCAUUCUU